rnacentral:lncRNA from 1 species
GCUGACUUAUCCCAGGCUUCCUCAGCGUGCAUCCCAGAGGGACGAGCUGCCUUCCCUGCGACUUGGAGACACCCCAUCCCUCAGGACCAGCCAGCCGCAUGCCCAGGAGACCUUGGGCCAAGGCUGUUGGUGAACAGGUCAAUGUGAGAUUUGGGGAACCAGCUAUAAAGGGUGGUAAUGAGCCACAGAACUGGGUGGCUGGUUUUGUGCAAUAGAGGGAAAUCUCACAAGGAAGUGAGAGUGCUUCAGACUUCCCUCCUUGGUGAAAUAUUGGGACCAAUGUGGAAAUUUGUCUUCUGCACUGAUAGUGCAAGCAAACACCUCAGAAAGCCCCUGCAGGCCCACAAGUGCUGGCAAGGAAUAGGGGCUUUAGGACUGUUUCUUUAUAAACUGCUUUCCCAGAAGGAAAAUGAAGAGAAACCUGGGAGACUGCACGGCUGUGUGUAGGGAAAUGGGUGAGGAUGGAGCAGAGAGCCCCAGCCUGCACUCUGGCUGGCAAAGGAGCACAAGCUCCCUCCCUUCUCCCUCCCCAUGCCCACCGUGCUGCUCCCUGCAGGGUCUGUGCGGUGCUGGGGGAGGAAAGGUGCUAGCACAGUGCGGCCCCUCACUGUGACAGCCGUGGUGUCGCUGCACAGAGGAGAGCUUUGCAAGAGCACAGCAUAGGAGUCAGAGCUGAGCAUCCUGCUGCGUCAGACUGGAAAAUGUGAGCCUAUGGGACUUCCAGAGAACUGGAGGGACUGUCUGUGCUCUUGACUAUUGGAGCCAAAGUGCUGCCCUGUGGCUUUCUGGCAAACUCAUCUGGGUUCCGUGGAAACAUCACCUCUUACUGCCGCUGGAUGCUGCCAGUCGAGCCUUUCAUGGUGAGCAGGAACCGGCAGCACCCGGUGCUGUGCAGGAUGUGGCUGCAGCCUGACAUCAGGAGCAUUUGAAAUGAAAACAAAAGCUGAGCUGCCUCUUGGUGCCUCCGAUUUCGAGAGGAAGUCGAAAAGAAAGUGAAAAGGAAAUAUCCAGAGGCAGGAGAGAUGGUGGCAAUGGAAGGGCAGGGGAUGCCCAUGGCUGGCACUGGUGGUGCUGCUGCUGUGGGCACCCACCACCUUCUGCGUGAUGCAGGCAGCGUGUCUUAACUGUGAGCAAAGCAACGUCAGACGUAACAGCCGGAAACAGCAAUACGUCAACCGCCCUUCUGACGGCAGUGAUUCAUGUUUUAACCUGACAAAAUGCACUCCCCGAGCUGGGUUUCCACCAGCAGUUUAAUGGGACUAUCCCACCGUGAAGGUUCUUGGAAGCCAAGUGACUUUAGGAAAAACUCUCCAAUGACCUGGCAGUAGUCAAAUGUAGCCCAUGUUGUGAUGUGGAAAUGCUCUUUCCCAUGUGAGACAUUGCCCUUUGCUGUGGGGGAAAGUCCAUAUCUGGAAACAGAAAAUGCAGCUUGACCUUAGGAAAGGAUGUACAGAUGAAUAGACAGAAUACCUUUGGAUGGACCACAUCCUUUCUGUAUUUACAAAUUAAAUAGAAUAAAUAAUGUCUGUACGCAA